CCUACGGGAGGCAGCAGUGGGGAAUAUUGCACAAUGGGGGAAACCCUGAUGCAGCGACGCCGCGUGAGUGAAGAAGUAAUUCGUUAUGUAAAGCUCUAUCAGCAGGGAAGAAAAUGACGGUACCUGAGUAAGAAGCCCCGGCUAACUACGUGCCAGCAGCCGCGGUAAUACGUAGGGGGCAAGCGUUAUUCGGAUUUACUGGGUGUAAAGGGAGCGUAGGCGGGAAUGCAAGUCUGGGGUGAAAGGCGGGGGCUCAACCCCCGGACUGCUGUGGAAACUGUACGGCUGGAGUGCAGGAGAGGUAGGUGGAAUUCCUGGUGUAGGGGGGAAAUGCGUAGAUAUUAGGAGGAAGACCAAUGGAGAAGGCGGCUUACUGGAAUAUAACUGACGUUGAGGCGCGAAAGCGUGGGGAGCAAACAGGAUUAGAUACCCCUGUAGUC
rnacentral:rRNA from 1 species